rnacentral:rRNA from 1 species
ACGGCUCAGUAACACGUGGACAACCUGCCCUGAGGACUGGAAUAAUCCCGGGAAACUGGGGGUAAUUCCAGAUAUGUCAGAACUCCUGGAAUGGGUUCUGGCAGAAAGGCUCCGGCGCCUCAGGAUGGGUCUGCGGCCUAUCAGGGUAGUAGUGGGUGUAACGUACCUACUAGCCUACGACGGGUACGGGUUGUGAGAGCAAGAGCCCGGAGAUGGAUUCUGAGACACGAAUCCAGGCCCUACGGGGUGCAGCAGGCGUGAAAACUUUACAAUGCGGGAAACCGUGAUAAGGGAAUCUCGAGUGCCAGCAUAUAAUGUUGGCUGUCCAGAUGCCUAAAAAGCAUCUGUUAGCAAGGGCCGGGCAAGACCGGUGCCAGCCGCCGCGGUAACACCGGCGGCCCGAGUGGUAACCGCUUUUAUUGGGUCUAAAGGGUCUGUAGCCGGCCAAGUAAGUCCCUUGGGAAAUCUGGCAGCUUAACUGUCAGGCUGCUAGGGGAUACUGCUAGGCUUGGGACCGGGAGAGGUGAGAGGUACCUUGGGGGUAGGGGUGAAAUCUUGUGAUCCUCGGGGGACCACCAGUGGCGAAGGCGUCUCACCAGAACGGGUCCGACGGUAAGGGACGAAAGCUAGGGGCACGAACCGGAUUAGAUACCCGGGUAGUCCUAGCCGUAAACGAUGCUCGCUAGGUGUCAGUCACGGUGCGACCGUGAUUGGUGCCGUAGGGAAGCCGUGAAGCGAGCCACCUGGGAAGUAUGGCCGCAAGGCUGAAACUUAAAGGAAUUGGCGGGGGAGCAC